GUACACAAAAAUGCACAUAUUGUGAGCUCGAUGAGUAGGGCGGGACACGUGGUAUCCUGUCUGAAUAUGGGGGGACCAUCCUCCAAGGCUAAAUACUCCUGACUGACCGAUAGUGAACCAGUACCGUGAGGGAAAGGCGAAAAGAACCCCGGCGAGGGGAGUGAAAAAGAACCUGAAACCGUGUACGUACAAGCAGUGGGAGCCUCUUAAUGGGGUGACUGCGUACCUUUUGUAUAAUGGGUCAGCGACUUAUAUUCUGUAGCAAGGUUAACCGAAUAGGGGAGCCGAAGGGAAACCGAGUCUUAACUGGGCGUUAAGUUGCAGGGUAUAGACCCGAAACCCGGUGAUCUAGCCAUGGGCAGGUUGAAGGUUGGGUAACACUAACUGGAGGACCGAACCGACUAAUGUUGAAAAAUUAGCGGAUGACUUGUGGCUGGGGGUGAAAGGCCAAUCAAACCGGGAGAUAGCUGGUUCUCCCCGAAAGCUAUUUAGGUAGCGCCUCGUGAAUUCAUCUCCGGGGGUAGAGCACUGUUUCGGCAAGGGGGUCAUCCCGACUUACCAACCCGAUGCAAACUGCGAAUACCGGAGAAUGUUAUCACGGGAGACACACGGCGGGUGCUAACGUCCGUCGUGAAGAGGGAAACAACCCAGACCGCCAGCUAAGGUCCCAAAGUCAUGGUUAAGUGGGAAACGAUGUGGGAAGGCCCAGACAGCCAGGAUGUUGGCUUAGAAGCAGCCAUCAUUUAAAGAAAGCGUAAUAGCUCACUGGUCGAGUCGGCCUGCGCGGAAGAUGUAACGGGGCUAAACCAUGCACCGAAGCUGCGGCAGCGACACUAUGUGUUGUUGGGUAGGGGAGCGUUCUGUAAGCCUGUGAAGGUGGCCUGUGAGGGUUGCUGGAGGUAUCAGAAGUGCGAAUGCUG
rnacentral:rRNA from 1 species